UAAAAGUCGUAACAAGGUUUCCGUAGGUGAACCUGCGGAAGGAUCAUUAUUGAUUGGUCGAAAGACCUUAUCAGAUUCUACCACCUCUGUGAACCGUUGACCUCCGGGUUAAUAAUCAAACAUCAGUGUAACGAACGUAAGAGUAUCUUAAUUAAACAAAACUUUUAACAACGGAUCUCUUGGCUCUCGCAUCGAUGAAGAACGCAGCGAAAUGCGAUAAGUAAUGUGAAUUGCAGAAUUCAGUGAAUCAUCGAAUCUUUGAACGCACCUUGCGCCUUUUGGUAUUCCGAAAGGCAUGCCUGUUUCAGUGUCAUGAAAUCUCAAUCUAAUAUGUUUUCUGAACAUGUUAGGCUUGGACUUGGGUGUCUGCCAGCAAUGGCUCACCUCAAAUGACUUAGUGGAACAUCCCACAUCAGUGUUAGACGUAAUAAGUUUCGUCUCUCCUUGUGGUGAUGACUGCUCAAAACCUGCCAUCGCGCACCUUUUGACUUUGACCUGAAAUCAGGUAGGGCUACCCGCUGAACUUAA
rnacentral:rRNA from 1 species